rnacentral:rRNA from 1 species
GAUGAACGCUGACAGCAUGCUUAACACAUGCAAGUCAACUUGAAUUUGGGUUUUUAACUUCGGUUUGGGUGGCGGACGGGUGUGUAACGCGUAAAGAACUUGCCUCACAGCUAGGGACAACAUUUGGAAACGAAUGCUAAUACCUAAUAUUAUGAUAAUAGGGCAUCCUAUAAUUAUGAAAGCUAUAAGCGCUGUGAGAGAGCUUUGCGUCCCAUUAGCUAGUUGGAGAGGUAACGGCUCACCAAGGCGAUGAUGGGUAGCCGGCCUGAGAGGGUGAUCGGCCACAAGGGGACUGAGACACGGCCCUUACUCCUACGGGAGGCAGCAGUGGGGAAUAUUGGACAAUGGACCGAGAGUCUGAUCCAGCAAUUCUGUGUGCACGAUGAAGUUUUUCGGAAUGUAAAGUGCUUUCAGUUGGGAAGAAACAAAUGACGGUACCAACAGAAGAAGUGACGGCUAAAUACGUG